rnacentral:rRNA from 1 species
ACGGGACACGUGAAACCCUGUGGGAAGCAGGAGGGACCACCCUCCAAGGCUAAAUACUACCUAGUGACCGAUAGCGUAUAGUACCGUGAGGGAAAGGUGAAAAGAACCCCGGGAGGGGAGUGAAAUAGAACCUGAAACCCUGCACUUACAAGCUGUGGAAGCACAUUUCUUGUGUGACCGCGUACUUUUUGUAGAACGGGCCAACGAGUUACGUUAAGUAGCAAGGUUAAGCACUUAAGGUG